GACGAGGGGUCCAAGCGUUGUUCGGAAUCAUUGGGCGUAAAGCGGGUGUAGGUGGCUCUAUAAGUCAGAAGUGAAAGCCCCGGGCUUAACCCGGGAAGUGCUUUUGAUACUGCAGAGCUUGAAUGUGGGAGAGGGUAGUGGAAUUCCAGGUGUAGUGGUGAAAUACGUAGAUAUCUGGAGGAACCCCGGUGGCGAAGGCCGCUUCCUGGCCCCACAUUGGCACUGAGACCCGAAAGCGUGGGGAGCGAACAGG
rnacentral:rRNA from 1 species